rnacentral:rRNA from 1 species
AAUCAACGCUGGCGGCGUGCCUAACACAUGCAAGUCGAACGAGAAAGUGGAGCAAUCCAUGAGUAAAGUGGCGCACGGGUGAGUAACACGUGACUAACCUACCCUUGAGUGGGGGAUAACCUAGGGAAACCUGGGCUAAUACCGCAUAAUACCUACGGGUCAAAGGAGCAAUUCGCUUUGGGAGGGGGUCGCGGCCGAUUAGUUAGUUGGCAGGGUAAUGGCCUACCAAGACGAUGAUCGGUACCGGCCUGAGAGGGCGCACGGACACACUGGAACUGAAACACGGUCCAGACUCCUACGGGAGGCAGCAGUGGGGAAUUUUGCGCAAUGGGGGAAACCCUGACGCAGCAACGCCGCGUGGAGGAUGAAGUCCCUUGGGACUAAACUCCUUUCGAUCGGGACGAUAAUGACGGUACCGGAAGAAGAAG